rnacentral:misc_RNA from 1 species
GUAAGUAAAAGUCGUAACAAGGUUUCCGUAGGUGAACCUGCGGAAGGAUCAUUAUUGUAUAACCGAGGUGCGAGGGCUGUCGCCGCCCCGAAAGGUCGUGCACGCCCGAGUGCCCUCACACACAUCCAUCUCACCCCUAUGUGCACCACCGCGUGGGUCCCCCUUUGGCUUGUUCGGAGGGGGGCUUACGUUUUCACACAAACUUUGUAUGCAGUGUAGAAUGUAUUUUUUGUUUUUGCGAUCACGCAAUCAAUACAACUUUCAACAACGGAUCUCUUGGCUCUC